GCGGAGGAAAAGAAACCAACAGGGAUUGCCUUAGUAACGGCGAGUGAAGCGGCAACAGCUCAAAUUUGAAAUCUGGUCCCCUUUGGGGGCCCGAGUUGUAAUUUGAAGAGGAUGCUUUUGGCGAGGCGCCGUCCGAGUUCCCUGGAACGGGACGCCGCAGAGGGUGAGAGCCCCGUACGGUCGGACGCCGAGCCUCUGUAAAGCUCCUUCGACGAGUCGAGUAGUUUGGGAAUGCUGCUCAAAAUGGGAGGUAAACCCCUUCUAAAGCUAAAUACUGGCCAGAGACCGAUAGCGCACAAGUAGAGUGAUCGAAAGAUGAAAAGCACUUUGAAAAGAGAGUUAAAAAGCACGUGAAAUUGUUAAAAGGGAAGCGCUUGCGACCAGACUUGCGCCCGUCGGAUCAACCGUCGCUUGCGGCGGCGCACUCCGGCGGGCUCAGGCCAGCAUCAGUUCGUCCGGGGGGAGAAAGGCGGCGGGAAUGUGGCUCUUCGGAGUGU
rnacentral:sRNA from 1 species